GAUGAACGCUGGCGGCGUGCCUAAUACAUGCAAGUCGAGCGAACAGACGAGGAGCUUGCUCCUCUGACGUUAGCGGCGGACGGGUGAGUAACACGUGGAUAACCUACCUAUAAGACUGGGAUAACUUCGGGAAACCGGAGCUAAUACCGGAUAAUAUAUUGAACCGCAUGGUUCAAUAGUGAAAGACGGUUUUGCUGUCACUUAUAGAUGGAUCCGCGCCGCAUUAGCUAGUUGGUAAGGUAACGGCUUACCAAGGCAACGAUGCGUAGCCGACCUGAGAGGGGGAUCGGCCACACGGGAACUGAGACACGGUCCAGACCCCUACGGGAGGCAGCAGGAGGGAAUCUUCCGCAAUGGGCGAAAGCCUGACGGAGCAACGCCGCGUGAGUGAUGAAGGUCUGCGGAUCGUAAAACUCUGUUAUUAGGGAAGAACAAAUGUGUAAGUAACUAUGCACGUCUGGACGGUACCUAAUCAGAAAGCCACGGCUAACUACGU
rnacentral:rRNA from 1 species